CUGUUGUUGAAAUUGAUAUGCAAUAUGUAGGCCCCUUAUGUUAGGUACAUAAGAAUCAGAAGUAAAAUGCGAAACCUGCGGCUAUGACUGUUGUGCUGACUUUACACAGUGAAAUUGCAAGUUACAGACGGGAGGUAAAAUAACACGAAAAGAGGGUGGAUGGGACAUUGUAACCUAUACACCGGUAAGUUUCUGACAUGUGAUAGUGCAACAUGCACGCGGUACGGGAGGUCAACCCUCUGCAGGGAAUUAGCUGGGGGAGGUCUAAAAAGCUGAAAAAUCAUGAAAAAUUAGCAAAAUAUGAAAGGGUCAAAAUCUCAUAAAAACCAGUAUCUAGAGAAUUUUACAGGUUUUGACUAAUAAUUUUCUUCAGAAAUUGGCGAUUGGCCUUAUAAAGAGUGAAUUAAAGAUAUUUGUGCUGAAUGGGAACUGAGGAAAUUCUAGUUACAGAGUUCCGAAGACAUGCAUCCCUUGGCUACAAUGAAUUGUAUCAAAAAAAAAACUGUCCUCUGCAACCUAACCGUUAUGAGGAUUAUUUUGGGGAAAUACAGUGAAAAUUAUUUACAGCUAUUUGAUGUAAACUAAGUCUUAUGGAGUUUAGCAAAGUGUGUGCGUUAUGUGGACUAAAAGACAUGAACACAGGAACCUUAAUGUUAAUAUCGAAAAUUUGAAAGCUGUUGAAAUCAACUGACAUUAUGCUAAACAAUUAAAAAAGAAGGAAAGCAACAAUACCAACAAGUCAUUGGGAGGGUGGCAAGCUGCCUUCUUAUAUUUAAGCUGUCCUAGUAUGAGCAUUGAGAUCCAGCCUGAUAAAAAUAAAAAAAACUAGCUCAAAAGCAGAAGGACAAUGGACAUGGGAGACUAGUAGAAUAUCAGUCAUACCAUUUACAUGAACCCUACCAAAAUCAAAGUUUUGAAAGAAUAUGUGAGAGAAGUAUUUUUAGUGAUGCAAUUACCGAAAAGAUUCGAGGAAGAUCUGAGCUACUCUAGAAACUUAAGUGAAAGGCAAACAUUAGGAAAAUAUAAAGAUAUUCUGGAUGUAAUAUCUGUAUUAUGAUGUGUAUAAAAAAGGAAAUACACAGGAAUUAUAGAUGGUCUGGCCACUGAUUUAUAAAAGAAAUGAAGGCAAUGAUUCCACCCCAUCCGGUGCUAAUUUAAAAGGAUUUAGUCACCGAAUUCAAAAGCAUAAAUUAAAAGAAGUUUUUUUGUCCGUUGUAAAGUGUUCAUCUUUACCCUAAGGCGGAUUUGGACGCAACCUUGUAUUAAGGCGGAUUCCACCUUAUAUUUAGGUGGAUUCCACCUUAUUUUAGGGCGGCAUCUUGCGUAUUCCACCUUAUAUUAAGGCGGAUUCCAAUUUAUCAUAAGGUGGUUUCCACCUAAGAUUAAGGCAGAUUCCCGUUUGUUUUAAGGCGAAUUUUUAUU